rnacentral:rRNA from 1 species
GAUCCUGGCUCAGGACGAACGCUGGCGGCGUGCCUAAUACAUGCAAGUAGAACGCUGAAGAGAGGAGCUUGCUCUUCUUGGAUGAGUUGCGAACGGGUGAGUAACGCGUAGGUAACCUGCCUUGUAGCGGGGGAUAACUAUUGGAAACGAUAGCUAAUACCGCAUAACAAUGGAUGACCCAUGUCAUUUAUUUGAAAGGGGCAAAUGCUCCACUACAAGAUGGACCUGCGUUGUA